CGGUACUCUAACAGUUUGGACGCUGCUGUGGCAAAACAAGCUGGGUACACCCAGCCAGUCUCGGCAACAGGCCAUGGAACCUUAAAAAUUACCGAUGUGGCAAGAAAAGCUAAACGUGGAAGCCCCAUUUAAAACCUCAUCGAAGGAGGCUAAGUGAACAGAUUGUAAAUAGUAACCUUGUAGUGAAUUUCUGUCCAACUGGGACUCAGGAGGUGUUAAUGCUCAAGGUUGGAAACAGUGGACUCCAUUAUCUUUCCUUUGCAAAGAGUUUUAUAACAGAGGAGUAACAGAACACCUUUGGAGAGGGAUAUAGCUAAUAAAAUAAUGUGACCAAUCUG